rnacentral:rRNA from 1 species
UACGGAGGGGGCUAGCGUUGUUCGGAAUUACUGGGCGUAAAGCGCGCGUAGGCGGACCUGCAAGUCGGGGGUGAAAGCCCGAGGCUCAACCUCGGAACUGCCUUCGAUACUGAGGAUCUCGAGUCCGGGAGAGGUGAGUGGAACUGCGAGUGUAGAGGUGAAAUUCGUAGAUAUUCGCAAGAACACCAGUGGCGAAGGCGGCUCACUGGCCCGGUACUGACGCUGAGGUGCGAAAGCGUGGGGAGCAAACAGG